rnacentral:rRNA from 1 species
AGGGCACAUUGUGGAUGCCUAGGCGUUAAGAGGCGAUGAAGGACGUAGCAUGGCUGCGAUAAGCUUCGGUAAGUUGCCAAGCAAACUUUUAGAUCCGAAGAUUUCCGAAUGGGGAAACCUAGCAGCGUAAACCGCUGUUGCGCGAAAGCGAGCAAACCGGGGGAAGUGAAACAUCUCAGUACCCCGAGGAAAAGAAAUCAACCGAGAUACCCUUAGUAGCGGUGAGCGAAACGGGAAUAGCCCAAACCAUAUGAACUUCGGUUCACAUGGGGUUGUAGGGCAUGCAAUAAAACUGACCACGACGAGUAGUCGAACUCUUCAUGAAUGUUGGGCCAUAGAGGGUGAAAGCCCCGUAGGCGAAACUUGAAGUGGCGGUGAGCAUGUUCCUGAGUACAACGGGACACGUGGAAUCCUGUUGGAACCUGGGUGGACCAUCAUCCAAGGCUAAACACUACUUAACGACCGAUAGUGAACUAGUACUGUGAAGGAAAGGUGAAAAGAA